AUGGGCUCGGGUUAGCACAUUAUGCUAUACGUUUGCGAUACUGAGUCUCGCCUAUGUCUCUGGUUCAGCCGUGAUAAGUCUUCGUUUUUCAAACAUUCGUUACAGGGUCACGUUCAGAACUACUGGAAUACCUCUACUUGGUGUUGCAGCCAAGAAGCAUGACAGCCUUUCUUUGACGGGAUGAGUAGGAGUGCCAGCUUUUAUGCCAAGAAAAGAAAAGCUAAAUCUUAACGCUAAUUGAUGAGAAAAGGGACCCUAGCAUCUAGCACAUACACGCGUGUAGAAUAUCCUGAAUACGUAUUUACUUCCAAAUCGUCUUCUUCGGCCAGAGAGUAUUUCCAUGUAGUACUGAUUAGGGAUCAAUAGGCAUAUCAGAAUUCAUCACACGUUAUACCGGUGAAACGCUGUGAUAAUAUGAUAGGGGGCUCACUAAUUCUUUCGAUUCGUUAGAAAUUUGGAAAAUCUUGCAAGCCGACGCAAAGAUAUUACGGCCAACCGGUUCUUUUACGAACAAGUUUAUCGCUAGAACUGACCGUGACUGGCUUUGACCUGAAAUGUUCUCUCCUUUAUGUAAGCUAAUCUUCUAGUACUUUUUUCUUCUGCACUGCACGUUUCGGGAUAGUGCAUCGACUGGUUUAUGUUAUCAUGGUGCAGGUUUUCUAGUCGUACGAUCUUAGGGAAAACCUCUUUAAACGCCGUGUUGCACUUUGUACAUUCGUUGCAUUUUCAUGCUUGAGUCCAGCGAGUUGAGAUGGAUAUUGUAUUGUUAUAUAUAAUAUCGACAUCGGGAGCUUCUGUCCACAUGCCUGUUUAAAACUUGGAAGACAACUGCUUCAAAAUCGACUGUCCUCCUUCUUGAUGUUCUUAACUUGUGUCGCAUUGUUAUAUUGAAAAAGGUUAGUGAAAUAAUGAAGCAGUGUUUAUAUGCGCCAGUUGUGGUGCUGCACGAUGAGUUAACACUUAGUAGACUAACAGUACGAUGGGCGUAUUUGUCUUCAAAAAAGUCUUCAUAAGCGAUUGAAGGGCUAACGGAAAUUGAGUGCUAAAGAUGCUGGAGCCUGCCACCUGACGAUACUAUAGACAGCUCGUAUUGCCCAAUAGCUUCUUCAAUUUCAAAUAAAAAUCAGGGUCCUAGUGGCAUUCACAGUGUGUGGGGGACCAAGUGAACAGAAUUUUCCAUUUUUCAACCCGGUCGCCCUUGGCUUCAAAGCGAUCAAGCCACCCGUCUACGCGGCUCUUGGGUAGAUGUAAAUGCGCAGGCCGUUUCCGCCGCCGAAUUAAGCGCAGUCAACAUACCCAAUAUACUAGUUCUCAAAAUGAUUAGUGUGAGCUCUGGCCCGCCGUUAAAGUGCGACCUUAUGCGAGAAUUGGAAUCUUUAGUAAGCCUUUAGAAUAGGCGUGCCCUAACAAACAUUUUUUAGCCUGCUCUUAUCAUUUAGUUAUCCAUCUUUCAUAAGAAUAGGCCGUCGUUUUUGUCCGAUGGCCUCGAAUUAAGGCCGGCUCGCGCAUCGAGUUGACCAAAAUUCGAAUUUGCAAAGACAAGGAAGUAAUUGUUCUCCCAGAUCCGUAGUUGUCGGUGCAAUCUAAAUUCGUCCUUAUAAGGCAUCCAACUAACUGCGUAGAUCCGUAUGCCAACUGCAAGCAGUAAAGCCUUCAUUGGCUGUAAUACUCUGCAGUGUUGUAAGGCUCUAACUGAUUAAAGAGGACAGAUUGCAUUUAUGACUAAUUAUCAGUAUAAUAAAAUUUCUAAUUGAAUGCAAGCUAUCGUAAAAUGACAAUAAUCUGUUUGCCUAAAAACCGUAUUCCUGUUUCUCUAUAAACAUUUUUUUUUAAUUUUUUGGGGAGGACACAUUUUUUGGCAUUGAAAUUUACCACUUUCCCAUAAAUGUAAUUGCAAAGUUGGUUCACGAUGCAUAAUACGUAUAGAGAGCUUCUAGAUCCCAUCGUCAGGAUGAAUGCUCAGCGUGAAAGGUCUGCUCGUUUUAGGUUGGAAACCAGCCGACAACGCACAGAACAGCAAUGUUCUCACCUUCAGAUAUAAGGUAGGCUUGAGCCUGCGUUGUUUACCGUAAUCCAGAGUUUUUUAAACUAUGCUUCUAUAGCUUCUAUGCUGCUCAGCUCUCUUAGGUUCUGAAUAGACAAAAGGCGAAUCGGUCCGAAAGCAAGCUUAUAUGAGUGACUUAUAAACUGUAGUAAACUAGGAGCUGAAAGAGUAAUAGCCAACUGAAACAAUAUGUCGUUCAGCAGGAAUAAGUAUCUAUAGAGUAAUUUCGUCCAGAGUAGACGUUCCGGUUGUUUGAACUUCUUCUGAAGCAGAGGCUUCUGUCCGCAGAACAGCCCAAGGUUUGAUCCAUCAGGUUUCGAUGGGUGGCCCUGUGGGCCAUGAUUACAUGCAGGUCUCGAAAUGUACGAAAAGUUCGUUUGUUAAUUGAAAGAAUUAGAGCUUCUAAACGAUCUUGGUCAAACGUUAAAAUAGUAAUUAUGCGCUUCUAUGAAAGAAAAUAGUUCAUCAAAAGUGUUUUAAUUGGAUUAUUAAAAAAAAAUUAUACGAAUUAUUAUUAUUCUUUUAAAAUGGUCUACGCUUGUAGAACGUGUUUUGAUGCCUUCCGAUUUAACUGGCACAUCUCUUAUGUUGUGAAUUGGCCUUACAUUCACUUUCAUCUCAACUAGUGACGGUUCUUGUUCCGCGAAAAUAAUCCUAUCAUAUUUAAAACUGUGUAUGUCUAAUAUAAUUCAAUUAACUUCCUUAAGUUGUGGAUGCUUAUUUGCCGUCAUUAAAGAGCGAGUAGGUAAUGUCUUACAGCAACGAGGUGCCGCUAGGCACGGAAAUUUGCAUUUGAGGGUAAGUACCGAUAGAGUUUGACAAAGAGCUUAAGUUAUAUACAUAUAUCGCAUUUUCGUUAUACUUGUCUUUGUGUAUCUAAUUUCUCAAUUAUGUCAUUAGAAUUUGGUCAGUUCAAGUUCUUCGUAAAAAAAAAAAUUAAUACUCUGGUGCUUUGCCAAGUUUGUCGGAAACGUUUUCGCGGUACAUAUUUAUCAACGGAUAAAUAUCUGUAUACAUUUAAGUAAAAAUAUUUUUAACAUGUUUAAAUCGUACUUUCAAAAAUACUGUGGUUUAAAUUACUAGUCAGAAUAGUAUCCUUGAGCACAUAUUUCGAUAGAUAUUGACCGGUUUUUAGGUUGUUGUCGAAAGUAUCGACUUCGUCUGUGGACUUUCCCUGGUACUCAACGAUAAGGCCAAAGCGCGCCCUCCAGCCUUCUAUAGAAGCAAUUAUUUGCCGUCCUUGUUUUCUAAGGCCAAAACGAUGAUCCUUCGAACAGAACUGCUGGUGCAGUUGCUGUGGUAACCAUCGAGAGAAACUGUCUUCCCGUUGAUAUAGUUGCUUCCGUUCAGAAUUCCAAGGUUGAUCCAGAUGCAAAUUCUGUAUGUAAAAAUGAUGCGGAAGCACGUCGGUGCGAACCCUGCUCUCUGCAACGUAUCAGGGCACCUGACCCUAGAUAUGUCCACCACGAAUAAUUCAAUGGCCUUCAACCGUGUUUCAAAUCGCAAUACGUUGGCCUACAAGUUUUUAUUGAUAAUAAGUGGAUUUAUUGUCAUGUUUUUAUAUUUUAUAGCAUGACUAGGCAGGCAAGUGUCAACUUAUUUAGGCAACUUACCUCUCGUUUGUGAGUUGUAUGUGUGGCCAUAAGGUAUAUGUGCUAUUGGGCCAGUCACUCCAGACGCGGCGCAGAUUAUUUAAGGCAAACGAAAACAAGAACUGCAAUCUAUUCGAAACUUCUUAUCAUUAACUUUUUUGAACUAAUCAGCAUAUUUUUAAUUACGCUUCUUUGGACUUUCCAUUUAUCUAUUGCUAGAGUUGGGCACAAAAAAUACAGAUGCAGGAAUUGUCACGGAGCUUCGAACGUGUUUCCUUGACCGUCUUAUCACUGAUUCUUUUGAAUACUGGAAAGUCUGCAGUGUUUCGAUUCCGUCUAUUUAGUAUUAUAAUAAAAAAAAAAAAAAAGCUUUGGAGGCUUCUAGAAACAGCUACUAGCUCCGUUGUAUGUGCGUACGUUUCGCUAGUUUGACUCGUUUCCAGAGAAAUGAAACUUUACCAAGUUCAAUGCCGAUGCGUUAGUUCGAAGUUAGUCAGCGAUACAAAAAAAAAAAAAGACGGAAGCCAAUGGUACCAGCGUUUAGAAAAGACUUAACGAACCAGUUAAGAUCCUCGAACGAGCCGUGCAACAGCGCUAUGUUACACGCUGGCGCAGGCUGGUCGGGCCUAGACGGGCCAAUUUCCAAAUGCGGCCCAUGUAGUCUCCGUCUUCAGUUCAUCCAGUUUCAUUGUUAACAGUGUCCCAGGAGGUGGACAGUGCAAUCACUAUGCAACAUAGGUACAUCUGAAGGAUUCAUUGUCCUCUGGCAAACUGAUCUCACCCCAGGGUUGUUGGUCCACUCCCUGACAUUUUUUUACCGUCGCAUAACGGACCGAUCGGACGCUAAGACAAUCACUGACCAGACGUCGUCGCAAGACCGUGAAGCCGCUGCACAUACCUCGGUACUCA